rnacentral:rRNA from 1 species
UACGAAGGGGGCUAGCGUUGCUCGGAAUCACUGGGCGUAAAGCGCACGUAGGCGGAUCGUUAAGUCAGGGGUGAAAUCCUGGAGCUCAACUCCAGAACUGCCUUUGAUACUGGCGACCUUGAGUUCGGGAGAGGUGAGUGGAACUGCGAGUGUAGAGGUGAAAUUCGUAGAUAUUCGCAAGAACACCAGUGGCGAAGGCAGGUCUCUGGGCCGAUACUGACGCUGAGGAGCGAAAGCGUGGGGAGCGAACAGG